AUUGAACGCUGGCGGCAGGCCUAACACAUGCAAGUCGAGCGGAUGAAGGGAGCUUGCUCCUGGAUUCAGCGGCGGACGGGUGAGUAAUGCCUAGGAAUCUGCCUGGUAGUGGGGGAUAACGUCCGGAAACGGGCGCUAAUACCGCAUACGUUCUGAGGGAGAAAGUGGGGGAUCUUCGGACCUCACGCUAUUAGAUGAGCCUAGGUCGGAUUAGCUAGUUGGUGGGGUAAGGGCCUACCAAGGCGACGAUCCGUAACUGGUCUGAGAGGAUGAUCAGUCACACUGGAACUGAGACACGGUCCAGACUCCUACGGGAGGCAGCAGUGGGGAAUAUUGGACAAUGGGCGAAAGCCUGAUCCAGCCAUGCCGCGUGUGUGAAGAAGGUCUUCGGAUUGUAAAGCACUUUAAGUUGGGAGGAAGGGCAGUAAGUUAAUACCUUGCUGUUUUGACGUUACCAACAGAAUAAGCACCGGCUAACUUCGUG
rnacentral:rRNA from 1 species